GUAGGUGAACCUGCGGAAGGAUCAUUACUGAAGAAACAAGGGUUUUGAGACUGCGUCCUUCAAUUGGGCGUGUGCUCGACUCUUACUCUUUCAUAAUCCCAUACACACCUUUGUGCACCAAGGGGACCCUUGUGUCCCCCUUUCUUUCAUAAAUACCGAGUUAUAUGCAUGUAUAGUUUGUAUACUCUACGGAGUUAUUAUAAUUAAAUACAACUUUCAACAACGGAUCUCUUGGCUUUCGCAUCGAUGA
rnacentral:misc_RNA from 1 species